rnacentral:siRNA from 1 species
UAAACGCUUAAAGUUUGAUGUUCG